rnacentral:rRNA from 1 species
GACGGGGCCGCACAAGCGGUGAGUAUGUGGUUUAAUUCGAUGCAACGCGAAGAACCUUACCUGGUCUUGACAUCCCGGAGACCCUUAGGAAACUAGGGGUGCUUCCAUCUGGAAGAAUCUGGAGACAGGUGCUGCAUGGCUGUCGUCAGCUCGUGUCGUGAGAUGUUGGGUUAAGUCCCGCAACGAGCGCAACCCUUGCCUUUAGUUGCCAGCAGUUCGGCUGGGCACUCUAAAGGGACUGCCGGUGUUAAACCGGAGGAAGGUGGGGAUGACGUCAAGUCCUCAUGGCCUUUAUGACCAGGGCUACACACGUACUACAAUGGCCGAUACAAAGGGCAGCGACACUGCGAGGUGAAGCCAAUCCCGUAAAAUCGGUCUCAGUCCGGAUUGGAGUCUGCAACUCGACUCCAUGAAGUUGGAAUCGCUAGUAAUCGUGGAUCAGCAUGCCACGGUGAAUACGUUCCCGGGCCUU